GAGGAAAUGGCCGAGCGGUUUAAGGCGGUUCUUUGCUAAGGAACUUUGCGGACCCCCGCAUCGUGGGUUCAAAUCCCACUUUCCUUG
rnacentral:tRNA from 1 species